rnacentral:rRNA from 11 species
CCCCGAAAACUAUUUAGGUAGUGCGUCAUGUAUUGCUCCAGGGGGUAGAGCACUGUAAUGGUUGUGGGGGCCAUCGCGGCUUACCACGCCAUAGCAAACUCCGAAUACCUGGAAGUAUGAGCAUGGCAGACAGUCGCCGGGUGCUAACGUCCGGCGGCAAGAGGGAAACAACCCAGACCUACAGCUAAGGUCCCAAAGUGUGGCUAAGUGGGAAACGAAGUGGGA